rnacentral:rRNA from 1 species
AUGAUUUGUUUUAAUUGUGGUGGACCUGGCCAUUAUGUGGGGAAUUGCGUGAAGCCAAAAGCCUGCUUUAUUUGUCAACAGAAUCACAAUGUAAAUAAUUGUGCCGUGUGGUCUAAGAUUCAACCUAAUGCUGCCUUUUUUGGUAGUGGAGCUCAAGGCCUUGGUUUCUACCAUGUAGAUGUUCCUGUCGCAAAUGAGUCGAAAUGGCUAAAUUUCCAUAAUUGUGCGGUGGUUAACAUUCUGAAAGGAGAAGUGGACUGUGCUAAGCUGAUGGAACUGUUAUCUGCUACUUUUUGCAAAACUAAACACUAG